rnacentral:tRNA from 1 species
AUUUGUUUAGUAUAUAAGUAUAAUUAACUUCCAAUUAAUAGGACUGAGUUUAUCAGAACAAAUA